rnacentral:rRNA from 1 species
UACAGAGGUCCCAAGCGUUACUGAGAAUCACUGGGUUUAAAGGGUGCGUAGGUGGUCCGUUAAGUCAGUUGUGAAAUCCCCGGGCUCAACCCGGGAACUGCUUCUGAUACUGGCGGCCUCGAGGGGGGUAGGGGCAUGCGGAACUUCCGGUGGAGCGGUGAAAUGCGUAGAUAUCGGGAGGAACACCAGUGGCGAAGGCGACUUUCUGGCCUGUUCUUGACGCUGAGGCGCGAAAGCUAGGGGAGCAAACGGG